AAGUUAAUUUACUAUCACAACCAUAAUUACUCUUCCACUCUUUCAUGAGGUAGGAGAGAAUAUGUAUUUUACUGGCAAGGAUGGUGGUCAUUAAAUUCAUUUUGAUAUUUUCAUAUAAUUAAUAAUUUCAUUUAAAACAUUUAAAACAAUGUUCAUAUUCUAUUUCAAAGCAAAUGAAUGUGGAAAAACACUUUGGAGAACUGCCUACAUACAAAAAUUGAGGAGGACUCAGCACAGACAAAACCAGCAGAUGCUUAUAUCGGUUUUGGAUAUAUUAAUUAAAAUUGUGAUGACUUAUACAGUGUAAGGUGCUUGUCAUUUUAACAUGAUACACAAUAAUAGAAGAUAAUGAAUUAAGCUGCCAGUGGACCUUUCCCCUAGGAUGAUGAUAUUGUGCUUGCUAAUUAGUUAUAAUAUGCAUAUAGUAGUACUCCAAAGUACUGCAUUUACUUUAUCUAACUUAGUUUCAAAAACACUAGUACAUCAAGACUGGAUUAUGUGCCCUGUAGUUAAUCAUAUACAGAUUAAUUUAUAGUAGAUAUAUUUAUGUUAUAAAAUGCAUGAUGAUAAAAUAGUUAGGUUUCAUGCAGAGAGCUGUUUUAACCAGUAGCAUUAAUUUUCUACUCUAUUAAUGAUGACAGUCGGGUUCUUCAAAUUAUUAAUAUGCUGAUGUUAAAAUAACAUACAGAACGUAACUGAGCUAGAGUACAAUAGAAUACAUUUCUUUCCUUAAGCAUUGCAAUGCACUGUGUUUCUUAAAUAAAGAAGAUAUGAUAUGCAAUCAUUGCUGAAUAUGAAUAUCCAUAAGCUUCAUCAGAAGACAGACCACCACUGAAUUUUUUUGCAAAUAUUUAGGCAACAUCACUUAGGGCUGUGCUAAUUCAGUCUGUUUCUCCAGGGGCUUUUAGCUCAGUUAAGUUCAUUUUCCCUUUUUAUAUUCCUAUAUAAGCCUCUGCUGUACUACAUUAAAUUCUCCCCCAUCAGUAAGACUGGUUAUGUUUACUUUGGAUCCCAUCAGUGUAACUACUCCAAUAGGCUGUAGUUGUUUGGGAUGGACUGAUGUAUUGCUUUUUUCAUUGAAUUGAGACUCUGAAUAAUUUCUCUCCUGAUGGACAAUCUUGAAAUCAAAUGUGGAAUUUCAUAUUAAUUUAUAUGGAGAAAUAGGUUCACUAGUAUGGGACUUGUAUGCAGGACUGGCAGCCUUGCAGACCCCAGCCAAAUAGAUUUUGUUCUCUUUAUGAGAGCAGCAUGUACAGAAUACAAAAGAAAUGUUUUUUCUUAUGAAUGUGACAAAGUUAGCAUGUGGGAAAUGGAAUGGUUUUGGCAUGCAGGGAAUCAGGUUGGGUGUUCUCUUCAUGAUGGUUUUACUGGAAUUGGAAUUUUAGACUUAAAAACACAGUGUGAUGAUGGAUGGGUUCAUGACAAUAUAGAAAGGAAAUGUGAAUUGGGACCAGGUUAUUCACAGGUGUGGCCACAGUUAGUCAAAAGGAAGGUUCAAAGUUCAGUGUAUCUUUGGAUACACCUGAAUUGGACUCUUUUUAAAGGUUGAAUUAAGAUCUGGUUUAGUUAGUUUAAUUGAGAACACCUAGUUCAGCCCCAAAAAACAACUAGUAUAACAUCUUCAUAAGAUGUUGAGACACUUCUAACAUCCACCACAACCUUGUUUUCUUUUCCCCUAGGCUGGAGUGAGGUGCCAUACAAGCCUGGAUAUGAGAAAACAAGUACUACGCUGAACAGCAGAAUGAUAAUGGAUUGACCACGUGUGUAUCUACCUUUAAUCAAAUUCCAUGUAUGUAAGAACUUGUAGAUUUGGCUCCCAUAUACCAAUAUCACUUUUAUUUUUUUGCCAACUACACCUAUGACUGCAAUCACAAGCCUAAUGGAAAAAAAUAUACAUACGUACACACAUAUAUAUGCCUGUGUGUAUAUAUAUACAUAUAUAGAAAAUAAAAAUGAGUAAUUCCUGAGAAUAUAGGAAGUAAUUGCUUUGUCUUACCUAUGUAUUAGCUUCUUAUACCCAUGACUAGUAUAUGUAUUUUUAUUCAUUUCAUAGGAUGAACAAAAUAUUGUGUUUCCUUAUCUACUUCUUUGCCAGUUCCUUUCUCCUGUCCUUCUGAGACACUCCUUCCUCUAACACUCUUGUAACUUUGUACAACAUUGAUACUUCUGCAGGGGUGAUUCUUCUUUGUGAUACAGUCAUCUGCAGCCUGCAGUAUGAAAGUAAAGCUACUUCCUGAAAACAUUUUCAGCAGCAAAGCGAUAAAUCAUUGAACUUGCAAGUUGGUCCCCUAGACAAGCAGAUUCUCUGAAGGCCUCAGCAAAUACAACUAUGUCAAGAUACUAAAAACCUUCUCUGCAAGUGGGUAAGUCUAACAAAGAUGACAUUACCACAGAAAAUUCCCCAGGCAAAGCCCCUACAUGAUGCAUCAACACUUUUCAAUAAGGUACAGUUGAAAGAGCUACAAAAGGUUCAAGUCACAAAUUUAUUAAUUAAAAUUAAGUUAAUGAUUUGCUUUAAAACACAACACUGUUGAGAUCCUGGUUAUCCCUCGUGCUCUUCUCUGCUGCUACUCUUAGAAUACAAAUCUAGGUGGAAAGAUAUAUUUGUGUGAUAACUGCCCAUCAAUCGGUAGUUCAAACAAUCUCAAAAAAUCCCAGAUGCUGGCACAUUUUUAGCCUGCCUUUUUAAUCAGAAAGAUUUUGACCAAACUCAACAGAGAGAAAAUUUGGCAGUGAGUGCUGUAGGUAUGAACAAAAUAAGCAGCUUGUCUGGGCAACUGAACCUACAAUUCAUGUGUUGUUUGUUGACUGCUGCCUGAAAAUGCAUGAACAGUGAUAAUCUGUACAGAGCUUUAGUAUGUACCCUGCGUGUGCUGGAUCUUGGAAGUUGGCCGUGUAUUGUUGGUGCAGAAGAUACAAAAGGAAAGUGCUCAAGCUGGAGGAAUUAAAUUUCUAUAAUUAGAAAUUGUCUGUUAAAAUUACAUGCCACAUGGCAAGCCUAUGGAACUUGGCGUGUGGAGAGCAUAUUGGCAAUGAUUUACAAUUAACUACCAUGUUGCAAAUCACUCCUUAGCUGUUUUCUAUUAUGAAAUUUGGAGAGUUGUAAAAUGCACUUGUGCUACUUUAUUUCCUUUUGAAAUGGUAAUUACUACUGCUGAGGGGCAGUACUUAGUGCAGAAAAUGAAGUGCACAGCAUAGGGAGGAACUUGUUUCUGAGGAAUUGCUGAGGAAUUGUAAUGAUAUGAAAAAAGAGCUUUCCUGAAACACAUACACACAAAAGAGCUUCAUUUAUGAAACUCCAACCAAAUAAAUAACAAAAUAAAGUAAAACAGUCUUUUUGUGCAAGGGACAGUAUUCACUUCUUUGUUGCUGACUGCACUUUUUUCCCAUCAAAGUGGGAACAGUGGAUUGACACAGGGAAAAACUCAUAAGCCAAUUGCUUGAGGGAAAUGCAGAUGUAUGGUAAUGUGAUAAGAAUGCCCUAGAGUAACAGGUUUGAGCCAAUGUGUUCGAAAAUUAUGAGUGUGCUUCUAACUACUAGCCCAUUUUAGAUACCUAGGAUAGAACAGAAAAUGGUGUGGCCAUGGAGAGCUACAUGAAGUUUGACUUUUAUAUCAGAGGAGCAGAGGCUGUGCACUCUGAGUGGAGAGAGCAGGUAUGUUCUAAUUAAGUGGUAGUAAGCUCCCCUGUACAGCUUCCCCCUCGAUUGUGAUUGUAAAAAGGACUGUGUUUAUGAGUAGCUUUUAUGGAAGGAUGUAUUAAGGAAAGCAAGGAGUAAGGCUUCUGAGGUCUUAAAUUUGGUAACUUGUGACAAUAAUCAUGAUCUCUCAGGUAAUAAAGUAGGCUAUCUAGCUCUAGUCCUCAGUUUAAAGUUAAUACCUUUGAAAGCAAGGUGAUUGACUGUAAUUUUGCUCAUAGUGCUUUGCUGGUAGCAGUAAAUAAAAACAUAUAUAGCACUUUUCAUCAGAAGUGUCAGAGUGCUUUCCACACCUUAAUCAAUUAAUUUUUAUGAGAUGGUGGCACAAUUAUUUCCCUUUCCCUACUGGAGGAACUGAAAGGAUCAGGGCAGCCACCAGCAAGUAUGCAGCAUUUAGUGCAGCGGCAAAUAUUGAUAAUGCCUUGGUCUAGAACUGUGGCUUUCCAGAAUUAUAGUUACAUAGCUGAGACAAACAGUCAUAAUUCCCCUUUCAGAAAUAUAUUUGAACCAGGCUUUGUCUUAGAAAGACAACAGACCAAGUUGAUGUUGCUAGGGUGGUCCAUCCUGAUACUCAGGAAAAGGAGCGGCUGUACUGGAUCAGGCUAAACAAGUAACUCAUGAUUGAGCUGCAGUACAAAAAGGUAAAAGCAGGAAAUGGCUCAGAACAAGAAACUGUCCAGGUACGCAGGGAUGAUGUUAAAAUAGCCAGUGUUCAGCUAGAGUUGAGACUUGCAAGGGAUGUCAAGUAACUAGUUACAGGAUGAGCAAGAAAAAUGUGGGACUGCUGCUGGACUUGGCUGGUGACUUAGUGCCAGCAAACGCAGCCCAGUCUGAGGUACUCAGCGCCUUCUUUGCUAACAGGGUCUCCCAGACCGCGGUGCUUUGCAGCACAGCUGCAAAGAGGAGAGGAACCAGCAGCAGGCAUAUGCUGGAAAAACUUUCAGUCAAUAUGGAAGGGGACUGUCUGUAGUGUUCUGGUAAUACGUCUCCCUGCUCUCCAAGCAGCCUAAGUGUGAAGCAGCAGGUGAUGGGCGCUCUGUGAGUGCUUGCACCAACUUCAAAUGGCAAAUGUUGACAUAGAAAAGCCAAACCGGGUUAAAAAAGGGAUGUGUUAAACCUACUUGACAAAGCUAGGGCAAAAAUGGACACAACCAGUUCAGUUUAGCCAGGUUUUAAUUUAGUUGGAAAUAUACAAGAUCCAAAACCAGCUGAUGAUUUGUAAGCAGUGCAUUUAAUUAGCAUCCUGUUGUCCAACAGUGAUGAAAUGCUCUGCUUUGCCAUGAGAACAUGUACAGCUGUUUUUUCCUGCAAGUAAAGAUAAAAGUGGCUAAUCCAGCUAACAACUAUUAACAGUGGAAAAAUGGGGACAGUGGCUAGAACUUGAAGGUAUAUAUCUCUACCUAUAUAUCUCUACCAUUUCAAGUGGCACCUAGACAAUUGGUAUCUUAAAAACCUAGCUAAUUACAUAACAAAUGAGACAUUAAUUUAACAGUUUUCUCAGGGAGAGAAAGCUGUCUAUCUACUCAUGGCUUUAAAAACAAGCACCUUGUGUGGUAAAUAAAAUUGUUGCCGGUACAAUCAUCGUUGUUUUGCAUGAAAUGGAAAUGGAAUCAGUAAUUUUCUCAGUAGCACUGAUAUCCACCAAGAGUGAUGCAACUCAUUUUUUUCUCAUAUAAUUAGAGGACAACUUCAUCUCAUAUAGGUUAGGGACUUCCCACAGAAGUGCAGGAGUCUGUUCUGUAGUAGAUAGAAUUUGAAUUUUCCCACUUUUCUUGGACAAGUGGAUAAUUUUUCCCUUCUACUGUACACCUUUUAAUCACAAAUGCAAACAAUUAUUUCUCCUCAUUUUCUGAUUCUUAUAAACUCUUCUUAGCAUUAAAAAAUGGCUAGACUUAGAAUUGUGACUAAAGCUGUAAGCAGAUUCUGGAGCAUGCAGACACAAAUGAUGCAUGUGUAUAGUUAGGAAAAGGAACUCUUUCCCAUGUGUAUAAAUCAAGAGAGUUCAAUUUGUAGCUGCUUAAAUACCAGUGGACCAUCAUUUGUUUUCACUUUGAAUCAGGAACAUAACAUACAGAUGCACUUUGCUUUUCUUUGAUACUGUGAUUUUUUUUCUGUUAAGGCCAGAAUAAGAAUUCUGGGAAUAAGGUUCUUUAUGUCCUUUGUGCUUUGGGAAGUAUGGCUUUUGGAAAAUAGAGAAGAAUCUGCAGGUUCAAGAGCACUAUGGCUGCAAUAAGCCCACGUCAGAAGGAGGUUCCUUGUAAAGGAAAAAGUGAAGAGGUAGUAAACAUUCUCUCUAAGAAUGAUUGUGUUACUAUGGAGAAAGAAGAGAAAAACACAAGACACAAGAAGGCUGAACUAGUUUUGGGUAAAACACUCUCGGUUCUGAUAGUUCAAAAGUUUCACAUGCUUUGGCUUUGAGGGUGAGGAAGGGGAUGUCUUCUUCAUGACUGGAUCCAUAGAACUGAUCUUCAAAAUCCUACUCCUGGGAUCCUUCUGCCCAUGUUUGAAUCAUUGAAACAUAUGGAUCUGAAGUCUCAAGACAGGGAGCUAUAGUGUAUUACAGGACAGAAAGUCACCUAUAUUGCACCUUUGGCAACAGAAGCUGGUAAAGCACUGCAUUUGCCACACAAAUGUAUUUCACAGUGUUUUCCCGUUCUGUAAUCGAACUGCCGAGAAAAUAACAGCGAAAGCAGUAAGAAAUCACAAGAAACAGUGUCUUCAGACAAGAUGUGAAAGGAGAUGGUAUACUGAUGAAGAAAAAAUACAGAAAGGUUGUCUUACAUCCCAGGAGCUGCAGCAGUAACACUCAUUUCUGGAUGUCAGCUGGGAUGAUGAACAACAAAAUCAGGUUACUUCUAACAACUGAGAAAUGUUUGUAGUUUAUUUUUAGCUCACAUGUUGCAUGCACAUUGCCCCUUUCUCCAGUGCAAUGCGCAUAUGAAGUUCCCUGAGGUGUCUGAACUAGAUUCACUCUUUGGGACUACGUAACUGGUUUACCUGAACUGCCACCAGAUCCAGAGCUACACCGGAGCCCAAAUGCCCCAAGGUAUCUCUCAGGUAAGGGUGGAAUUCUACCUGUCUUCACAAGGCCUGUGUACAGCCUACAACACCAUCCUGUCCCUUAAUUGACCCAUGCUGCGUCUAUGUAACACAGGAAUGGAUUUUUUAAAAUCCCACUUUCUGAUUUCCACUGUAAGCAAAUGCCUGCAAGCAGAGGACAUUCAAGAAAACUUUAAGAAAAAAAAAAAAUGAUCUUUUGGGUAAGUACAAUAGAUUGAAAAUACAUGCCUAGAAUGGAAAUGCUUCUUUUGCCUCCACAGAAUAAAUAAUAAAUGCUUUCCAGGUAACGACUGCAGCUCUGUUGAUAACAUAUAUAUUAAUAAAUUAAAAAUGUCUGUAGAUUGACAAGUGUUUUGUGGGCUUGUACUGAAAAGCCAACAACUAAUUAUGAAAGCCUGACUUGACUAAUCAAUUAUUCAGAUGAACAUUAGGUGCCUAUUAUAUGUGUAAACAUGGGAAUUAUAUUUCCCCUAAGUAACUUUCUAAAAUAAUGAACCCAAAAUAUGCAAAUUUGAAAUAGAAGGAAUUGGCACUGUUAUGCCCUUAUUGCACAUGCAGACCUCCCACUGAAUUAUUCAGGGAACACUGAACCGGGAGCCUCGGUCUUCUGACUGCGCAGCACAGCAGUAGCAGCACAUGCCACGUUGUAUUUGUUAUGCAUGUAAUAUUGAUUUAGCUCGUUCUUGCUGGUCAUGUUUCAAAUUCAUUUCAUGUUUAGGAGGUAGGGGAAAGGAGAAGUAUCCCUGGAUUGCUAUUUGCAAUAUAUUUUUACGCCUGUUGAACACAAGAUUAUCUGAUAAAUUAAUAAUACCAUGGCCUCUGUGUGCUGGAAGAAUAAGCCUUUGAAAAGGAGCACAAGUGAGGUAAUAAACUCUACUUAGAAAAGGUUUAUAUUUGCUUGAUUCCCCAUCUCCUGCCUGUAAAGGUUGGGAGAGUGCUAGUAUUACAGAACAGAUUCACUAGUGUUUCAUUUAAUUUGUGAGGCACUGAACACAAUAAGGUAAUGCAUAAUUGUUCUUUGCAUGUAGAAAAGACCACACUCUUAAACAGAAUACAGCAACAGGGAAACCAGAAAUAGAUGUGACCAGACACCUGCUGACAAACAGUGACAAAUCCCACUGACACUGCAGUGACCCCCAGUUAGUCAAGAUUUAAUUAAGGGGUAUAAUUAAGUCAGUGGAACAGAACACUAAUGAGUGUUCUGUUCCACUGACUUAAUUUUUUUUAAUACGGGUAAUUACACAUAAGAAUACAAAGUAAGCUAGGCCCCUCAAUGUAUCGUUGAAGUGAACAGUAUAGAAUGGCAAUCACAGCUUUAAGCACUCUUUUUGUUUAUUUUUUCCCCUUUGCCAGAAUAAUGCAAGUUGAAACAACACAGCUCUAGUCAAGCAUCUGUAUACAUACUAGCAAAUGCUACUAGCCCAAUCUGGCCUGUGGAGUGUAUCAGUAACAUGACCUUGGUGGCCCAGUGCACACCAGUAAAGUGAGGUGUGUGUGGCUUUGCUGGGUUCUGCCCGUCGCUGUGUUUGCACGUUUCUACCGCGCAGAGGGCAUUCUGCCUCACUUUUUAGCAAGUGACAUUCUGUUCCUAUUCAAGUAACAUCCUCUAGAUUUCAUUUAUCAAGUGUGGUUAUUACAGAAAGCAACUGAUUACAGGCAAGACACGCUACAGAUCAUCCCUGUGAUUGUCUGCCUGUUGGGUGCAAUACACCUUUAUAGUCAAACAGCAGAGUUUCUUACGGCAGUGCUAUUUUAUGCCUGAUCUAGUUCUCUGGAAUUUAUCUCUAGGCAGUUGAGUGAAAUAGCUGAAAUAUCUUUGACUAUGUGAUAUUUGCUUAUAUUUCAAUCACAAGAAUAUUGUAAAGUAGAUUUACUCGACCAAAGUGUUAAACUGGGGUGGAAGACAUCACCAUGAAUAAUGACGAUGUUGGUAGGGAAAAAAAAAAACACAACUUUCCUACGGUCUCUAAGAUUUAAAGGAAUGCCUGUGUAGUUCGGGGCCAGCCCUCUGCCGGGAUUACUCUAUCUGCUCCCAGCUGGUAGCCUGCAGUUCAUGACAGCCUUUUAUCCAUUAUCAAAGCAACAAGUGGAAAAGCAGAUCCUCCUGACUGCUAACACUCUGUUCAGUUCUCUCAGUAGAAUUUCUGCUUCUAAAUCUUUCCUUUUAACAAGUCCUCAGAUUUCCUUCCUACUGCUGCAGUAGACACUAAAUAUGUCUCUCAAGUCUUUAGCUCACUUGUCUAACUUAAACUCUGCAGGACACUAAGGGAAGAGAGAAUAAUUGCAUUACAACAGGACAUUUUCUACAGGGACUGACUGAAAUGCAGCAUGCUCCUGAUCCUGCUCACACCGAGGUGCUGUGGGUUUAGCAGUUGGGUUCAAUGACAGCAAAACCUAAUUACUCAAGUAACAUACUAGUGAAACAACACUUCAAUUACAAUUUCAGACUGAGACAUGAGGUAGGCUUAAAUUUAAUCUACUUACACAAUUUAUUUAUAUAAGUGCAAAUUCUACAAUGAGAAAAGCAAAGCACACUAUAUUGAAUCUUGUUAUACUGUGCUUUCUUUGCCUUUUUAGUGGUAUGCCUAUAGGAAAAAUAAAAAAUGUAAAACCAGGAGAUAUUUAAAUAUAAUUCAUGUUGAAUUCUUUCAAGCAAAAUCUAUCCACUGAAACUGAACAGUUGUUUGUUAUUAAAACAAAUCUAAAUGAAUAUGUAGUAAAAAUACACCCUGCUUUCCUUAAAUCAUGCUGUCAUCAAGUAAUGGGUCUUAGAAACGCAAUCCUAUAACAGUUAUUACAAGUAUAUUUAUAAAAUCAAAGGAACAACUUGGUUAACAAGCUGUUAAGUAGGGUACAUUAAACCAUAAAGUACAUUAAAUGUUUCUAAUUCUUUCUUAAACUCUGUUUUUUAACCAGAUUUUCUGUGACACCUUGCGGUUGUGCUGGGACUGAGGAUGCUGUGGGAAUGCCAGCUGGGUGGUGCAUGCAGGACUCGCUCCCUGUCUGAACCAGGCCUUUGCCACCAGUCUGCUCCACUCACACUUGGCUGCCUGCUCGAUCCGUGCAUGGCACAUCGUGCUGGUGCCGCAUCCCUGCCAGCUGCGCCCUGCGCUGAGCACAGCCCUACUGCAGCCAGCAGCAUCAGACCUCUGCACCUAACCCGGCUCGUCUCAGCCCGUCAGAGAUUUUCAGUGUGUGAGAAGGCAUUAUCCGGCCCUGGGUCCUCAGCAGCUUGGCUACGAAGCAGCCAGUAGCAUUUAAUUUUUUGGAGGUGCCUGAUGUAACUGCUGUGGUGAGGACCCUGAUAAAAGGGCAUGGGAUCACUACUCUUAUUCUUUCCUAUGAGCUCAAGCAUGUUAAAACCCUUGUGAAAACAAGAUAUUAUAAGAGAGGUGGUAAAAAUCACAUACAUGAUUUUCCUGCUUUUAUCUUUACAUGGGCAUGUGUCAGCGUAAAAGAACAGAUUAGACAGGCCGGCUUCCGUCUGGGCUGUAGACACACGUAUGCAUAAUUGAUUCCUGACAUCUUCUUCUCCCCCACGCUCUCCCCGCGAGGCCACCCCUGUCCAGCUAUGUAUGAAUGAACAGAAGUGUCUUUCAUCCCCCACUUGCCUCGUGGUUCAAAAGGAACUACGAAAAUAGCAGCAACAAAAAUCCAGCAGCCUGCCAAAAGGCCUGCACACGUCCCAUUCUUAAAGGCAUGUGAAAGGUUGGAGAGCUCAGCAAAAUUUUUAUGUACGGGAGCAGGCCCAAGGAAAACUCACACGCCAUAACCAAUUGUGGACAGAGGAUCAUCUAUCAGCAGACAAAUGCAGGAACUCCAGAAUGUCUCUCCUCAAAUGAAAUAAUAUAUCUUUGAAAGCCAAUGCCCGUUUUAGGCCUGAGGCCCAUAUAUCAAGCCUGAGAGGCUUGUGGAUACGCUCCAGGGCCAUUAACCUUCCACCUGUUUCCCCUUGUCCUUCAGGAUGAGACCCUGCCCUUGAUUUUACUCCCUUCCCCUGUUCAUCUUCCGACAGAGUGUAAAUGUAAAGCAGAGGGCCUGUGAAAUAAUUCAAAGGCAAUGGACCAGGGACAUGGUUACAAAUCUCUGCCACUGGCACUGUGACUUAUGCAGGCAGUUUGUCACACAUGAGCCAGGUGACCUCUGUGACAUAACAGAGAAAAAUAUCGCCCGAGAUCAAAAGAUGAGAUUCAGAGCGCUCUAACUAACUCUGGUGCAGGCAGCGGCGGCCCAGGCACGCCUGCCUUCCCAGCGCUGCCUGCUCUGCCUGCCGGAGGGUGGGCUGCGCUCCUGCUAAUUGAAGCCAUCGCGUUUGCUCUCCUCUCUACACAAAUCCUUCCUACAACACAAACGUCAAAAUCUGUUUCCUCAAGAAGCUGCUCUUUUCCAAAACGAUAGCUAGAUGUAAAUUGACAGCAGACAGCAAAAUUCAUUCAGCAGAUCAAAACGAACACGUAGCAAUCAGUAGCAUCAAAAAUGGUGAGUUACCUUUGCAAAAGGGUCUGUUUUAAGCUAGUACAUUUUUAAAUGCUAAGUAGUAAUAAAACCUCGUAUGAGCACAUUCUCUCUCUGGUAUUGCAAUACGAAGCCUUCGAAGUCUAAAACAUUUACUGGGAUUCAACUGUCAUGCCAGUUACAAUGUAAGUAGUUAGUAUUAAAAAUGAUGUAAUGCACCUAGAUAACACGACAUCCGUAUUGAUUCAUAUUUUACCAAGAGACAUACUACGGAACCAGAGUAGCAGUCAUUUGAAAUAAAGCCUAAUCAGAUUGAUUUUUUUUUAAAAAAAAUCUUGAAGCCAUUUUUCAAGCUGUGUACUGUAUAAGAAGUUUCCCAGCUGUUUUCUGCAUUCAGGACUACUCUGCUGGGUGCAGACAAAAGAAGACGACCUAAUGCAGUAUUUCUCUUUCACUCCUUAAAACCUAAUGGUAUGUCUGGUAUGGACAUUUAAUUUUGUCUAUUUCAUAAAUUAAAAGAAAACCACAGAACUGUCACAGCGUCCCAGGCAUGAUGAUGAAAUGAGAAAUACAACUGUAGCUAGAUCAGCCUAAAUCCCGUCUUAAUCCUAAAUCACUGUCACUUGCCAACACCUAGUUGAUGAAAAACUCAGUUUAAUCCAUGAAUAUAUAUAUAAAUACACAUAUGCAAGCACACACAAACAUCCAGCACAGCACUUACACGUGCUACGCACUACCUGAUCAGCUAAUUUCAUUCUGUCUUAUCACAGGCUGACUUUGAAAAUUUUUCAUAGAAUUCAAGCAAAAUCAUCUGGAGGGAUAGGGUUCCACUAUUAAAGUAUUUCACAAUUCACUAAAUCUAAAAGCAUGAAAAAGUUUAACUAUGGCUGGGACUUGAGGCUAAAUCAUUAGAGUAGUUAAAAAGUAAAGUACUGCUGAAAAUGUCAUUGACAUAAGCCUGAUACAGAGCAUUAAACUACUCUGUUGCAGAACACUGCAACAGUAAACAUAGUAAAUGUAAAAUUAUUAUAAAAAGAUUACUGUGAAGUGUUACCACUUUUUUUUUUUUUUUUUUUUUUUUUUUUUGUAAAAAUAAGGCAGUUUGAAUUUACAGUGCUAAAAUCGUUUGAGUCCUGUGAUUACGCACAACUUUUCAUUUUUUUGUAUCUCUAAAGGAAGAUGAUCUGCCAGUGAUACAAGAGUCAGCAACUCUAUGCAAGUUCUGCCACUCCUUUCAGUGAACUCCAAUUCAGAUCCCAGAUGUCUUCAUUUUUGAAAAUACCCGGAGCGGUACUUUUUGAUGUAAAAUAUAGGUGAUGUAUCCAAGGGUUCUGGCAGUCAGAUCUUUAGCUCUCAUUGAGACUCCUACUGAAUAUAUUCAUUUGUAUUUAGGCCUGAUUUCACUUAUGAAUUUUCACUUAAACAUCAUUUUUUAAAAAUAUAAUAUAUAUUUGAUGUAUCCCUGGAAAAUUAAUAUUUAAUUUAAAGAGAACCUAGCCUAAUCCAUUGCCUUUAACAGUGAGUAUGAUCUAGUGCAUCUACUUUUGUAAUAUUCAUGAGAUUUGGAAAUCAAGACUAGGUGUUAUAUUUUACUCUGAGAGGCUUUUUCUCAUUUGAGUGAUCAGUUCUGAAUGCCCAAAUGGCCUACUAGAAUUUCCAGGGCAUAAAGAAACUAAAAUAUGUUAUCAUAUUUUGAAAAAUAUUAUUAUAUUAAUGUAAUAAAUUAUAACCUUUAUAAAUAAACAUUCUCAGAUACAC